rnacentral:tmRNA from 1 species
GGGGGCGAUUGGCUUCGACCGGGCAGGUUGAGGCUUGGGUGGCAUGUCGAGGUGGUCAGGAGGCCUCGUUAAACACCUGGCAAAACCCUUAAAUGCCAAUGAUGGCUACAGACUGGCUGCCUAACAACUAGGUAGCCCGUCGGCCGGCGACACCUGCUAGCCGGUCCCGACGCUGACAGCAGGCUGGCACACACGUUCCCGUCGGGCGGCGUGCGUGCGAGAAAUAGCCGGGCUCGGCGCGCGGAUGACCUGUCGGCCGGUCUGCCAAGCGCUUAAAGCAGUCAAAUCAGCCGACUAAACAUGUAGAGGCCCAGGCUGAAAUGCUUCGGGACGGGGGUUCGAUUCCCCCCGCCUCCAA